rnacentral:lncRNA from 1 species
ACAAAAAAUUGCAUUUCAGUAAAAGUUAAUUUAAUAACAACUGUAAGUAAAAUAGUUCUGAUUCCUUUAGGUCAUUUUUAGAAUCAUGGAUAAUUUAUGCUGGAAGGGACCUUUUGAGGUCAUCUAGUCCAAACCCCUUCUCAAAGCGUGUCUCAUUCCAUCAGAUUGCUCGUGGCUGAACUGAACCCUCCGGAGAUGGAGAUUCUACAGCCUCUGCUGAAUGCUGACAGCUGCAACACAUUGGUCUCAGGUCAGAAGAGCCAGGAGAGCAGUUGCAAUUACUUUCCCAGCAAAGCUCUGCUUCAGGAAACACAUCUCGGAGACACGGUGUGUCCCUGAUACCUCGGUCCCAGUCACUUGCAGAAGAAAGGUUCUGACCCAGACCGGUGCUGGCAGCCUCUCCUUCCACCUCCCUGGGACACCCCUGCUGUGCUAGGUAGGUUCCCUCACCACAAAUGGACAUGGGGUGUUUUGUUUGAACUGGGAAGCUGAUAGUGUUGAACCCAUCUGUUUGUAUAAACUAGCUGGCUAUCAUCUUGCCAUCUCUAAUGUAAAUCUACUAUGGUAUUGUGAAACUUUAUUUAUUUUAAGUUUGCAAUAUUUACCAAAGCAGACCAUACAAAAAGGGUCCUUUCUAACUUCCAUACCAUUUUUCUACUGUGUUAUUUGUUGGAAAGAUAUGUUCAUGUAUAAUUAAAUGUGGCUUGCUUAAACCUUUGCAGUUGGUAGCUUAAUAUAUAUUUUGUUGUACUUUGAGUACAAAGGCUAUAUUAUGCUUUU